AUUCUCUUGGAGGCGUAUAAGAGCUACUGGAUUAGCGGAUCUAGGCCAGGAGUGACAAUUUGAUUAUGAGAGGCGGCCCGCGCAAGUCUAACUCUGGCAAAAGACUAAAAUCAUGAAGUUCGGAUCCCUCAGUCCUCGCCGACGUUUACUGCACAGUUCAGACGCUCGCAUUGGUGGCAUGGCACCCAUGGACAUGGUAUGGCAUUCGCUCUGAGCUCUCGAUGAACACACAUAAACUAUACUAACUUAUCUUUUAGCUGAUAA